rnacentral:lncRNA from 10 species
UUGAGAAACAUAUUUAUGGACCCUCACUUUUCUUACCUGGAUUGCUGUGCUAGUUUCCAAAGUGGUCUUCCCACUUCUGUCUCUCUCUUCCCCACCAGUCUAUCUAUUCUCAACCCAGCAGCCAGAGGGAUCUUUUUAGAAAUAAACCAGAUCACGUUGAGCUACCUGUGCUCCCAAUGCUCCCAUCUCACUCAGAAUGGAAACCAGAGUGUUU